ensembl:lncRNA
UGCGUUUAUUCUCCAGUUCCUCUCACAAAUCGUACUUUAAACAGCCGUGAUCUGCGAAUAAACAAAGACAGUAAACAAUGGAGUGGAGGCUAUGCCCACAACAUAGGAAGUGUGCAUGCACAACCAAAUUGCAGGAGUAUAAACUUAGAAUAGGACGUCACCGCUCUGUAAAUUUACAUAGACAUUACAUUUCGUUCUCUUCAUUUUAGACAUAACGCUAAGCUGACUUUUUUUAUAGCACACUGAUCGAUAUCGCGGUAAAAUAAUCGUUUUUUUUAAACUAGCGAGGCAGUGAAAUCUUUGCUUUGUGCUAAAGUCAACAGUGACAGAGUUUGAGCUCAAAUAAAUGCAGUGAUGUCUCCAGCCCUUUGCAGAAGGCUGAAAGGCGAGGUUCCACAAUGGGCUCCGAUAGGCUAUUGCCAAUAAGCAUCGACAGUAUUGCACAGAUAAGACGGCCUUCCUUGACUCAUGCAUGAAAGGGGACCAAUGGGAUGGAUGGAGUUUUGCCUUCGACCUUCACCCUUCAUCACCUCAGAUCAUAGAGGCACUGUGUUCUCUGCUUGUCUACCUGGCUAUGUCUGUAUCCGACCUUGUCUGCAUCUAUGAAAUAUCAAAGUGUGUCAGACGGCACUGAAUAGGGACAAAAGAAAGGCACCGUUAAUGAUUAACUGUUCUAAAAGCUUUGGCUUGUAUUCCCAUGGUGCCCAGUCUAUCUGCUGGCCAUGUCACAUGCUCACAGCCUUUUUCCAGCAGAUUGGAGGAAAGCUAGAGAGCAAACACAGGUGCUUUGGACUGGAGUCGCCGACGCUGUCAGGGACAACCACAAACAAGAGCAGCAAUGCCUGGCUAAAUGAGAACCCAUCCCCUUACUCGGUGCCUGGCUGGCUUAGCUAAGUCACUGACUGUCGUGCCUGGAGAUCCUCACCAUAGACCAAGUCCAAUGUCCCUCGAGAGCUCAACAACAUUUCACACUUUCCAGAGAAACAAACAAAUAAAACAAGAGGAUUGGAGUCCACUUGUUUGAAGUGAAUGCUAUUGCUGCAGGCUCAAGUAUAAUGGGAGAGAAAACCAGCUCUCACUUUCUAAAACAAACCAAAGUUGAGGCAAGGAGAAAUGCAAGGUGCUGGAAGAGACACCAAUCCUCGGAAAAUUGAAUGACAUAUCCGCACACUUUGAUGUUUCUUUCGUUGUAAUAUUAUUAAUAGUUCUGAGUUUGGAGUUGUUUUAUAAGGUUCUAUAAAUACAGUCUGGGUACUAACCAUUUCUUCCUCAAUGUCGUCUGUUCCUUUGUAAAAUGACUGAGUGCAUUUUGUAGCAUAACGUUUGAUUACACAAUCAGAUGAUAUGAUGACGUUAUCAGAACAUGACUUUCCGGCAAUGAGAUAAAUGAACAGCAUGAUAACGUGAACAAAAGCCUGUCUCUGAUUGGUCUGCCUAUGAAUAGAAAAAAGGCACCAUGAAAAGUACUCACAAUAAAGGCAAUUCAUUCGAUUUCUUAUUUUCUGCUUGACCUCGGUCACAUGCAUUCCUUUUGUAUGACACAAAUAUUUAUUUAUGUGUUAUGCAGGUCUUUCAGUUCAUACCCAGCAAUUACAGGGAACCUGUAACGCAGAGAUGAUGAUAAAAGUGUUUUAAAAUAAACACUCUAAAUCAACAUGAGAACAUUUUCAUUUUAGAGGGUUGAGGGUGAUACAUAGAGAGAGAGAGAGAGAGAGAGAGGGAUGGAUGUAAAGAGAAAGGGACUGAGAGAGAACAAUGAGAGGGCGAUGGAGAAGGACACAUAUGAAGAGAGUAUGAGCUGGAG